UACAGAGGGUGCAAGCGUUAAUCGGAAUUACUGGGCGUAAAGCGCGCGUAGGUGGUUCGUUAAGUUGGAUGUGAAAGCCCCGGGCUCAACCUGGGAACUGCAUCCAAAACUGGCGAGCUAGAGUAUGGUAGAGGGUGGUGGAAUUUCCUGUGUAGCGGUGAAAUGCGUAGAUAUAGGAAGGAACACCAGUGGCGAAGGCGACCACCUGGACUGAUACUGACACUGAGGUGCGAAAGCGUGGGGAGCAAACAGG
rnacentral:rRNA from 1 species